UACAGAGGUCUCAAGCGUUGUUCGGAUUCAUUGGGCGUAAAGGGCGCGUAGGUGGCGCUCCAAGUCUGUGGUGAAAGCUCGAUGCUUAACAUCGAGUCGGCCACGGAGACUGGAGGGCUCGAGCACUGUAGGGGCAGAUGGAAUUCCGGGUGUAGCGGUGGAAUGCGUAGAGAUCCGGAAGAACACCGGUGGCGAAGGCGGUCUGCUGGGCAGUAGCUGACACUGAGGCGCGACAGCGUGGGGAGCAAACAGG
rnacentral:rRNA from 1 species